rnacentral:rRNA from 1 species
CCUACGGGAGGCAGCAGUGGGGAAUAUUGCACAAUGGAGGAGACCCUGAUGCAGCGACGCAGCGUGAAUGAAGACUGAUCUCGGGGUUUAAAGCUCUAUCAACAGAGGAAUAAAACGACGGUACCUGACUAAGUUGCACCGGCUAAAUACAUGCCAACCGCCGAGGUACUACGUAGGGGGCAAGCGUUAUCCGGAUUUACUGGGUGUAAAGGGAGCGUAGACGGCGCGGCAAGUCUGAAGUGAAAGGCAGCGGCUUAACCCCUGAACUGCUAUGGAAACUGCCAGGCUAGAGUGCAGCAGAGGUAAGUGGAAUUCCUAGUGUAGCGGUGAAAUGCGUAGAUAUCAGGAGGAACCCCAGUGGCGAAGGCGGCUUACUGGACAGUAACUGACGUUGAUGCUCGAAAGUGUGGGUAGCAAACAGGAUUAGAUACCCGGGUAGUC